rnacentral:lncRNA from 1 species
AGUAAUUAUGUAUAAGGCAUCGAGGGGUGCCGCCCCUUUACAAAAUUUGUAGAUCUAAUAAAAUAUCAAAAACUUCCCCAAAAUCAUUCCACCCAUAAACAUCAGCAAUGCACUUAUAUAUUAUGAGCCAUCUACUUUUAACUGAUAAAGAACUCCAUCUUAGGAUGCCCAAUCUAUGGAACUAGCUGCUUGUUUACACCAAAUUAUGGGAAUAACCCCCAGAAGAAAACGCCUUAGGCCAAAAGAAUAACAUUCAGUACCAAGCACCAGAAUAUGUCAAAAUAAUGUAGUUCUAUAUCUAGGGGCUUUCCAUUCGCAUGGACCGCCUUCCCUUUGUUGGAGCCUUUCUAAACAACAAUCUCUCCAAUAUGAACCAUAAUUUAAUAGUAGUGAUUCAGGGUGAUGCUUGAUAAAAUAAUUCUAAAAGCUAAAGGAUAUCUAGUGUUUUGUUAUUAUUCUUAUUGCUUAGCCUUUUAGGUAGUUUAUUUGGUGCAACUCUGGCGUAGACAGUCAUUAUCUCAUACUUAGAUCUUAAUAAAUCUUUCUAACUGCGCACAAAUAAUGCUAAAUCUCCAACAACUAGUUCUUGUGAGAGUAAGCCUUUAGUAAGUUGCUGCUAUUAUGGUUUAUCUAGCUAUCUAUUAUUUUCUAAUUCUCUGUUUGCCAAUAUAAAAGAGAAGUUCAUAAGUGGAGGACAAAUUAUCCAAACAACUACCAUGAUGAAUAGCAGCCUGCUGUAUUUUAAAUUCUGUAUUUGUAUAAAAACAUAUAGCAUUCUUGAAAAAAAUUAUGUAAAUCACAAACAGGUAAAAUUAGGUAAAGUACUCAAUAUUUUUAUGAAUAUUCCAAAUUAGCACUUACAACUUUAAUAGAACUAUUUCAAAACUUGCAGUUUUUAGAUGUAAUAAAUUAAACUUACGGUUUCCACAUGUAACAAAUUAACAUACUGAACUGGAAAAACGUGUCAGAAACUCUCACAUUUUACACAUCUAGCUAAUGGCGAUUGACUUAGUUUGAUCAUUAAGUUUCUAAUGGUAAUGAUUUAAUUCAUACAAGUAAAUUAUAUAAGAGCUAAUUUUAAGCACGUUUUACCUAAUUAGCUUAGUUAUUGAUUUCCUAGUUAAUAAUGAUUUAGUUAAUACACAUGUGAAGUGUCUGAAGUUAAUUUUUGUUAUAGUUUUACCCCGAGAAGUAAUUGGUGGGAGAUAAUUUGAUACUGGUUAAUUUUCUAUGCACAAAUAAUUUUCUGGUUAAUUUCUUGUUUUCUUUUUUGUUCUUCUUUCAUGAGUUCUCCAUCUUUUGUAUUUUGUUCUGCCUUUCUUAGUAAUCCUUCUUUUGUAUUUUCU